UACAGAGGGGGCAAGCGUUGUUCGGAAUUACUGGGCGUAAAGGGCGCGUAGGCGGCCUGUUAAGUCGAACGUGAAAUCCCCGGGCUCAACCCGGGAACUGCGUCCGAUACUGGCAGGCUUGAAUCCGGGAGAGGGAUGUGGAAUUCCUGGUGUAGCGGUGAAAUGCGCAGAUAUCAGGAGGAACACCGGUGGCGAAGGCGGGUCUCUGGGCCGUAACUGACGCUGAGGAGCGAAAGCAUGGGGAGCGAACAGG
rnacentral:rRNA from 1 species